rnacentral:lncRNA from 10 species
CUGCCAUAUGAGAUGUGCCUUUCAUUUUCCACCAUGAUCGUGAGGAACUGUAAGUCCAAUAAACCUCUUUCUUUUGUAAAUUGCCUAGUCUCAGGUAUGUCUUUAUCAGCAGUGUGAAAAUGGACGAAUACAAUGAUUAUUACUAAAAACAUUUUGUUGUAAAUGGGGUAUGUGUGAUAAAAAGGAACCCACUCUGAGCGUGAAGUACAUUGGGCACCCACUGCAGAUGCUCAGACAUGCCUCAUGGAUAUCAGCAGAGGAAAUGCUUCCUGGCUGCCUGCUACCUUCAGGGGACUGUGCUGAGUGACUUGCAGACAUUGUCUCAUCUAAUCCUCAGAAAAACAUCAUUUUAGAAAUGAGAAAACAGCUAAGAGAGCCAUUCACUUGCAAGAGGAGAAGCUGAGACUUGAACCCAUGCUAAGACCGUUCAUUCACUGUCAUCUCUCAGAAAGGCCUUGGUUUGUUGAAAGUGAUGCGUUUUGAUCCUGCCUGCCCAGAGCAGGCAAGGGCAAGAUUCCUGGAUGCAACUUCUCUGCUGAAGAGAACAUUAUCGGCUCCUGAGCUCGGACUGAGACACGCAUGCUGACUCUCCCCACUGGCUCCCCUUGGAUGCCUUCCUCCGGCCCCAUCUGUACCCCUGCAAAGGCAAGACUUGCUUGGGAGGUUUUUGAAUGUGCCUGCCUGCAUCCAACGCCUGUGCAUCCAUUACCCAGCAGAAGUGCCGUCCAUUACCCAGCUGAUGUGCUGUCCAUUACCCAGUGGAAGUGCCGUCCAUUACCCAGCAGAAGUAGAACGUCGCCAACGCUUUUGAAGUCUCUGUGCCUCCUUCUGAAUUGCAUUCCCCCUGACCCCACAUAGAAGCUCUGCAGUUAAUGAUGAACACCGCAACAGCCACCUUAUCAAAUACUUCCAAAUGCCAGCCUGAAACUCACAUGGGAGAUUGACAGAGGCCAAGGACGUGUGAUUUUUAAGCUGACGGACAUUUGAGUAGCUUCCAGUAUGGGGCUGCUAGUGAGCCAGCUGCGAGAGUGUGUCACAUGGGUCACAGUGUGCUGGUGCCCAGGACUACUCCUAAUGUGCGUGAAUGCUCACGGAGCUGCUUGGAACAGCGCCGGCUGCGCGGCAUCGUCUGUUACCCUUCUGCCGGCAGAUGCAAGCCUCGGGCGAGAAAGGCCACAGCUCCCCACCUGUGAAAACCAACUCUUGUUUCCAUGAAAAGAGUUUUUAAAAAAGAUCAGCAACUGAGAACAGAAAGGAGGAAACCAAGGCACAGCCAGGAGAAAUGACUUGCCCAGCUCAACAACCAGUGAGGAGAGGUAUCAGGAUUCAAACCAGGCAGUGUGGCUCCAGAGUCCAUGGCCUUUAUCACUGCCCCCUACCCUUUGGCAAGCUCCACUUUUGAUAGCGCUGAUGUGAUAGCAGACAACGUGUAAUUGCCAAACUUUAGUCAUCAGCACGCUAGCUUUGAAUGGAAACACAAGGGGAGUUUCCGAGCUCUGAGAAGUUUCUCUACAGCUUCUGAGGUGAGGAUCCACCCUGCAUGAAGGAUACUGGGCCACUCAGGCCUUCUCCCACUCCGCGGCAGGAUCCUAGCGCCUGAGGACACUGGAGCCAUUCCAGCAACAAAUGGUAAGCAAGAUGGCCAGGAAGGAUGACUGACUCCCUCGCAGGCUCGGCCAGGCUUCAGGCCCUAUCUUUGGAUCUGUGUUCAUCAUGGUGAUUGUCAACUGCAAGCCUGAUUUGAUAGCCUUUCCUCUCGUGGUAUUACUCGGAGGUAAUGUGCAAGCAGAGAGACCCGGAUGCAAAUUCUGCUCUAUAGUUGACCAUUAUCUUACAAUGAUCUCAGUUUCCCAUAACACCAAUUUCUAUGUUUUCCAUUUAUAAACACCUGUAAUUCGCCUUGCUUGGCUUUGUGAUGUGUGAGUACAAUACAUUUGAUGUUAUAAUGGAAAUGUGCACUAAUAAAAUGCACCUUUAGCCAUUUGCUAUCUUAGGGAUUUCUGUAAUGCAUUAUUUAUAAGAAAGAUGGGUUUAGCCUUUUUUUUUUUUUUUUUGGUGAGACAGAGUUUCACUCUUGUCGUCCAGGCUGGAGUGCAAUCGCAUAAUAUCAGCUUACUGCAACCUCUGCCUCCCAGGUUCAAGCUAUUCUCCUACCUCAGCCUCCCAAGUAGCUGGGACUACAGGCACAUGCCACCAAGCCUAGCUAAUUUUUGUAUUUUUAGUAGAGACGGGGUUUCACCAUGUUGGCCAGGAUGGUCUUGAACUCCUGACCUCAGGUGAUCGCCUGCCUCAGCCUCCCAAAGUGCUGGGAUUACAGGCGUGAGCCACCAUGCCCAGCCCGGCCAUUUCUAUAAUUUUGAAAACUACUGGCUAAGGAGAAUAAUGGUGCUGAGGCUGGGGGUGUCCGGAGAACCAGCAUCCAUCUCCCAAGAAAACAAGGCGGCAGCCUGGGGCCUGGGACUGGGAGGGCAAUGAAAGAGCUCAGUGUUAUGCCCAGGAGUGAGGAAGGGCCGGGGGCAUCUCUGAGCCCCUGUGAGCACAGGAGCCCUGCCUGUCUCAGGUCUGGAAGAGGGUCUCACUUCCGGCUUCAAAACGGGCUGCCUCUCCUGUGCUGCGGUGAAGCCCCUGAGUAACAGAUGCUGAAGCCCGUGUGCUAGGAACUCAGAAGACGGGGCAGUCCCGCCCCUCCCUCCAGAUUCCGCAAGGGAAAUUACAAAGGGGUCAAGAUCAGAGGAAAUGUAGCCUCAGGAGCUUUACAGGAACCCAGUGGAGCUAAAGAAGGAGAAAGAGCCUGUGCUGGGCCUCUCUGUCCCGGAACUAGGCACAGCACACAGAGCCCUUCUUUUCCCCAGGUGUCAUGCCGAGCAGGUGCUGUGGGUUUGCUGUCUACCUGGGACUCGCACCCUUCCCCUGGUCCUACUUACACUUUUUUUUUCUUGAGACAGGGUCGCACUGUGUUGUCCAGGCUGGAGUGCAGUGGCAUGAUCACGGCUCACCGCAGCCUUGACUGCUGAGGCUCAAGUGAUCCUUCCACCUCAGCCUCCCAAGUAGCUGGGACCACAGGUGCUUGCCACAGCACCUGGCUAAUUAUUUUGUAUUUUUUGUAGAGAUGGAGUUUUUGCCAUGUUGCCCAGGCUGGUCUGGAAUUCCUGGGCUCAAACAAUCCUACCUCCUCGACUUCCCAGAGUUGGGAUUACAGGUGUGAGCCACUUCACACGGUGCUCCUGGCUCAUUUAACAAAGGUACAUUGGGCAGCACAGGCCGGGGCUGGGCUCUCUUUCUUAGGGAGUUUCUCCAGCUAGAAUGACUCAGGGAUAUCCUACUCUAACAAAAUCUUUCCCUUGAUUCUGCCUUCCCCUCAAGCUACUAUCCUAUCUCAUCCCGGCAACUUCUUGAAAGAAAGGAAUCACCACCCCAGACCAUUGUGUGUGUCUCUCUCUGACCUAACACACCUGGCUCCCUGUACCCCACUGCACCAAUGACAUCAUCCUCCGAAAGGUCACCAGCAACUUCCUGAUUUCAAAACCCAGCAGCUUUCUGUCAGCCCCGAGUCCUCACUGACCUCUCACCUAGCGAUUUACACUGGCAGCCACCCGUCACCGGGGGUAUGCACUUUGCUUCUGUGACUCUACCACCUGCUUCUCCCACCACCUCUCUGAUGCUUCUGUGCUGUCUCUGAGGACUCUUCCACCUAUUCUUGUUCUUCUUAAGGAAGACGGUUGUGUCAGUCUUUCAGGGCUGCUAAUACAAGGUAACAUGACUG